CUAAAUGAAUACUAGUAUUACUUAUAGAACAGGAUACACAAGUCUUAAUGACAACCGAGUCUUCAACAGCAGCAGCAUCUAUAGUUUCACCUUCCGUGACAACAACUAAUCAACGCCAGGAACCAACGUUAAGUAAACAAGAAGAUAAAAUGCAAUCUACUGAACCAGGUCUCAAAGAUGUUAGGUUAUCACAGAUCGAAGUUUGAGGAAAAUAAUGCCUAAAAAGCAUCAAAGUAUUCCAUAUUAACAUGCAGUUAAUUUAUAAUAUUAAAAAUAUAUAUCCUCAGAUUUUAUGCAUGGUUUGUUGAGAAACCAUAUAUUGUGUAUUGUGUGGUGUGAAUGAAACUGUUCAAGAGAGAUUUUAUCAUUUCCUUGUCGAUACUGUAGAUAAUUGUAUAUUUUUAAAUAUGUCAACAAUAUUUUACAUGAUAUCACUUUGAGACUUGUUUUUUGGUUGGUUAGUUUGCAUAUAAAGUUUUCAAAUAUUGCCUCAAUCAAAUGUUCAUGUUGACCACUGAAUUAAUAAUUUUUAAAAGAUAAAUGCCAUUAGGUUAUCGAAGGCUUGUAACUCUAUUUGAAGUUAUCAAGGCAAACAUAUGUACAUGUAUCUGUACCAUAAGAGAGGUGAAUGUAAGCUAAUAAAAACAUUUAAAACUUCCAA